rnacentral:rRNA from 1 species
GAUGAACGCUGGCGGCGUGCCUAACACAUGCAAGUCGAACGAAGCACCUUACCUGAUUCUUCGGAUGAAAGUUUGGUGACUGAGUGGCGGACGGGUGAGUAACGCGUGGGUAACCUGCCCUGUACAGGGGGAUAACAGCUGGAAACGGCUGCUAAUACCGCAUAAGCGCACGAGGAGACAUCUCCUUGUGUGAAAAACUUCGGUGGUACAGGAUGGGCCCGCGUCUGAUUAGCUGGUUGGCAGGGUAACGGCCUACCAAGGCAACGAUCAGUAGCCGGUCUGAGAGGAUGAACGGCCACAUUGGAACUGAGACACGGUCCAAACUCCUACGGGAGGCAGCAGUGGGGAAUAUUGCACAAUGGGGGAAACCCUGAUGCAGCAACGCCGCGUGAGUGAAGAAGUAUUUCGGUAUGUAAAGCUCUAUCAGCAGGGAAGAUAAUGACGGUACCUGACGAAGAAGCUCCGGCUAAAUACGUG